rnacentral:rRNA from 1 species
GCUUAACACAUGCAAGUCGAACGGUGAAGCCCUUCGGGGUGGAUCAGUGGCGAACGGGUGAGUAACACGUGGGAAAUCUGCCCUGCACUCUGGGACAAGCCCGGGAAACUGGGUCUAAUACCGGAUAUGACCUUCCUCUGCAUGGGGGUUGGUGGAAAGCUCCGGCGGUGCAGGAUGAUCCCGCGGCCUAUCAGCUUGUUGGUGGGGUAAUGGCCUACCAAGGCGACGACGGGUAGCCGGCCUGAGAGGGCGACCGGCCACACUGGGACUGAGACACGGCCCAGACUCCUACGGGAGGCAGCAGUGGGGAAUAUUGCACAAUGGGCGAAAGCCUGAUGCAGCGACGCCGCGUGACCGAUGACGGCCUUCGGGUUGUAAACCUCUUUCAGCAGGGAAGAAGCGCAAGUGACGGUACCUGCAGAAGAAGCACCGGCUAACUACGUGCCAGCAGCCGCGGUAAUACGUAGGGUGCGAGCGUUGUCCGGAAUUAUUGGGCGUAAAGAGCUCGUAGGCGGCUUGUCACGUCGGGUGUGAAAGCCCGGGGCUUAACCCCGGGUCUGCAUUCGAUACGGGCAGGCUUGAGUGUGGUAGGGGAGAUCGGAAUUCCUGGUGUAGCGGUGAAAUGCGCAGAUAUCAGGAGGAACACCGGUGGCGAAGGCGGAUCUCUGGGCCAUUACUGACGCUGAGGAGCGAAAGCGUGGGGAGCGAACAGGAUUAGAUACCCUGGUAGUCCACGCCGUAAACGUUGGGAACUAGGUGUUGGCGACAUUCC